CUAACAUGUCCAGUCCUGUGCAGGCCCCUGAUAGCCAGAGGUAUCGGCUGUGAGGUCCCUUGUUUGGCUGUGCUAUGCUGGUAAUACAGCGCUUAACGGCGUUUUCCCCUAACUUGGUUUCUCUGUGUGGCCCUGACUGUUCUGGAACUCCCUCUGAAGACCAAGCUGACUUGAAACUCAAGAGAUCCACCUGCCUCUGCCUCCCUAGUACUUCGAUUAAAGAGCCCGAGGCCGUGGUCCCUUCUGAGUCACCUGUCAAGCUCCACCUGGGCUGUGAUAUGCCCUCACCUAGAAUCACAGCUCUCUUGUCUUUUACUGCACUCCUCUUCAAAACCGGUCAAGCCAGCAUUCCACUGCUGAUUCAGAAGAAGGGCAUGGCAGAGUCAGCCAGCUCCCUCCACAGCCGUUCCUGUUCCUGUGAGACCCCAGGCUAUUCCCCUCCCUCCAUCUCUCAGCAGGACUCUUUUUUUUUUUUUUUUGAUUCUUUUUUUCGGAGCUGGGGACCGAACCCAGGGCCUUGCGCUUCCUAGGCAAGCGCUCUACCACUGAGCUAAAUCCCCAACCCCAUCAGGACUCUUACUCUUUAGAAUAUCCACUCUCCCUUUCCAAGCAGAAAUCCACUUGGUGAAGCCACCUUCCUCUCACCUACUCCUCUCUGGGGCAUUCUCUGUUCCCCUUUCUGGAGACUUUGCAUAUACUCAUCUGUCCUUACCCAGAAGCACCUGAGUCCACCGUCCAUGAAUAUGAUUUUUGAAAGGUCAAAAAAUUAAAAUCGUUUGAAAGUCA